CAGUUGUGAGACUGAAGAAACAAAGGCAUGUUGUAUUAUAUUUAGCAGUCUUUUAUGUUUUGUUAAUUAGUUUGUCCCUAUGGGGAUCCUGUAGAGAGUGUGGAGGCUGGAGUCAGAAAGGAAAGCUGAAUAGCAGCAGCAGAAGAUGCCAGUGAUGGAAGCGACACAGGAUUUCUCUUUGUCUCACUGGCACUCAGCUUUAAGGAAUAAAAGAGACACAGAUAAAUAAAUGUUCCUAGUGGCUCCGUCACUUCCCUGCCCAGAUGAGCAGUGCAGCAGUGACCAGCGUGGCAAUUGAGAAGGAAGGCAAGCUGCCAGAUAUCCCACAAUGCACCAUGUAAGCAGCGCAGUGCAUUGAAAUACCUCCCUGCUGAGGAUGAGCUGGUUGGAGAAUGCACACUUGUUCUCCUACCUCACUAUCCGUGCUUCUCCUGCCUCAGCUUGUAGCCACUUCUACAGUUUUUGCCAGGAACCAAAGGAAAGGAAAUAUUUCUUAACCACUGCACUUGUAUCCAUUCCAAUAAAGAAAAAUAAAUGUUUCCUAAGUGCUGGCAGUACAUCCCACAAAGCCAGCAGAUGAUCCCUUUAACCCAGUGAAUGAUAGAAUUCUCUCUCCAAAAUGAGUCGAGGAAGGGGAGAAGAGAAGAAAGAGAGGUGGAGCCUAGAACACAGUGCGGGAGCCAACGUUAACACAGUGCAUUCAUUUUAAGGAAGAUGGCUUGAGAGCACAUGAGUUCAAUUCUCUAUCAGCACGGUUUUGAAAGCGAAUGGAAAAUAAAGUCAUGGACUUUAUAAUACAUAAUUUCUGGAUGGUUUCUUCACCUUCACCACAAUUCCACAAUUCAUACUUUUAAUUUUCUUGACCUCUCUUUUCCUUCUUUGUUGGUGACAGAAGACACAUGUAUGUUAUUAGUGGUUUCUCUGCUAUUACAAAGUGGUUUUAGUUCUUGGUCUCUAUUCUGAUCUGCAGCCUUUGGACACGCAUUGCUACAUAUCUUGCAAAAUCCAUGACAUUAGAAGUAAUAGUGGAUUUUAAAUAAACUGCUCUGUACUUUUUGCUUUUUAGGGGGGAAAUACCUUCCUCUGUUAAUAGGAACAGUUUAGAAUGUGGCUUGCAAACAGCAGAUGAUCAGUUGCUCCUCCCCUGCAUUUGAAUCACGGUGUAUCUUGCAGCGUUCAUUAACAAGCAAUCUAGAAUCCUUCAUAUUUUAGAGCAGCUUUUAUCUAUAUCUGAAGAUGAGGCAUUUCCAGAGGAGGACACUCUGUGCUCUGUAUAAAACAGCAUGAAUGACCGUGUGUGCUUUUUCAAUUUCAGCUGACCUUUGAUACUUUAGCCAGAUGGGAAUCUCAACAAGAAUCUAAUUGGAUAUGUACUUUCCGCAUCCUCAGCCAUUCGGCCAAUUGGCAGAGGGUUCAGGAGGUUUUUAUUACUAAAAAUGCUGCAUUAACUGUCUUUUCAAUCUGGCUAGAGCAAAAGAGGAGGGAGAAGAGGAUAAUGGGGCAGGAUCAGGAUGGUGAAAGAGACAGAAAUAAAGUGAAAAUGGUUGGAAAACAAACCAGAAUGGCAGAACAGAAAAUAUUUCAGGAGAAAUCACAGAAGCUCGAGAAACUCCAGGACUACAUGGCCAUGGCAAGCAACGAGCGGAAGCCAAAGAUCCUGCACACAGACAAUGGAGGGGAAUAUAUGUCCAGUGCCACACAGCAGUUCCUGAGAGAACAUGGAAUUGUGCAUCAAACCACGGUAGCUUCCAACCCAUCGUAGAAUGAAGUGUUAGAGAACAGAAGCUUCCUGGACAUGGUAAGAUGCAUGCUUGCCGACGCACACCUCCUACAGAAACUCUGGGGAGAAGGCAUCAUGACUGCUACAUACAUACAAAACAGAAUGCACACAAAGCCUGUAGGAACAACACCAUAUGAACUUUGGCAUGGUCAUAAACCAUCCAUGACACAUUUGCAUGUCUUUGGAAGCAUGGCUUACUCAGGACAAAGUUAGGGGCUAGGGCCACAAAAGGGAUUUUUGUAGGCUACUCAGCACAGUCCAAAGGCUACAGAAUUCUGGAUCCUGACACCAACAGUCACCAGACACCAGCAGUCCCAUAAUUUUCUAUGGAGAUGGAGCCAUAAGCUAGUCAAGCACCAAGCAAGACAUAACAGCAUCAUCAACCACUGAAGCAGAAUAUGUAUCAGCUGCACAGGGCUGUCACGAGAUACAAUGGCUUUGUCAACUACUGAAAGAUCUAGGUAUAGAUGUACCACAGCCCAUACCAGUGUAUGAAGACAACCAAACCUGCAUUCAACUCUCCAAACAAGAAGAUGUAAAGAGGUGUACUAAGCAUAUUGAUGUGAGGUACCAUGUAGUGAGAAAUCUACAAAAGGAUGGACUAAUCAAGCUGAUCUACUGCCCAACAAAUGAAAUGCUUGCAGAUCUACUCACUAAGCCACUACCAAGACCCUGCUUUGAAAAGCUGAGAGAGAAAAUGAAUCUUGUGAACUGAGUCACAAGACAUCAAGAGGGGGUGCUGGAAGUGAAGGACUAUGCGCUGUCUCUUGUCUCAGUGACAUAGGAGGACAGACUAGUGAGUCAGAGGGCUAGAGGGUCAAGACAUUAGUCAUCCCUUCUCUACUGCUCUGACACUAUCCCUUUGGAAUGUAGAUUGCUACUCUGAGGGACUAACUUCCUUCCUUCCUGCUUUGCACUUCCUCUUCCUCUCUUCCCAUCCUUCUACCUUGCAAGAUGCAAGCUCCUCUCCCCUGCACCAUUUGUGCAGAGAUGCAGAAUCCAUCUGCAUCCAGCUAGCUAGCGAGAUUAGAGAUCCUAACUCCUCACGUUCCUAUCUAGAAUGGAGUUCUCUAAUAAAUACCAUU